rnacentral:rRNA from 1 species
CAAUAGCGUAUAUUAAAGUUGUUGCAGUUAAAAAGCUCGUAGUUGGAUUUGUGGCGUACGGUGUGUUCCGGGCACUUGUUGUCUGAGUAACCUGCUGUUGCCAUCCUUGGGUGGAACCUGUGUGGCAUUAGGUUGUCGUGCAGGGGAUGCCCAUCAUUUACUGUGAAAAAAUUAGAGUGUUCAAAGCAGGCUUAUGCCGUUGAAUAUAUUAGCAUGGAAUAAUGAGAUAGGACUUUUUUGCUAUUUUGUUGGUUUGCGCAAGAAGGUAAUGAUUAAUAGGGACAGUUGGGGGUAUUCGUAUUCCAUUGUCAGAGGUGAAAUUCUUGGAUUUUUGGAAGACGAACUGCUGCGAAAGCAUUUACCAAGGAUGUUUUCAUUAA